UGGGGAAUAUUGGGCAAUGGGCGCAAGCCUGACCCAGCAACGCCGCGUGAAGGAAGAAGGCUUUCGGGUUGUAAACUUCUUUUGACAGGGAAGAGUAGAAGACGGUACCUGUCGAAUAAGCCACGGCUAACUACGUGCC
rnacentral:rRNA from 1 species